rnacentral:rRNA from 1 species
UAAGCGUGCGCAGGCGGUUAUAUAAGACAGAUGUGAAAUCCCCGGGCUCAACCUGGGAACUGCAUUUGUGACUGUAUAGCUGGAGUGCGGCAGAGGGGGAUGGAAUUCCGCGUGUAGCAGUGAAAUGCGUAGAUAUGCGGAGGAACACCGAUGGCGAAGGCAAUCCCCUGGGCCUGCACUGACGCUCAUGCACGAAAGCGUGGGGAGCAAACAGGAUUAGAUACCCGAGU